rnacentral:lncRNA from 1 species
CCUUGCCUCUCUGGUGCUCCAGUUUCCCAGUGGAACCCCUAUCCCACAAGAUCAUAGCAGGGAUCACAAAGGGUUUUCAGAUCCAGAAAUCUCAGUAUUUAGAAAUAUUGCUUCUGAAACACCAGAAGUACAAUCCAGUGUAUCAUAAAAACUAUAAAGUAUGUCCUAAGGACAUAGUGAACCAUCUGAGACAAUGGUGCAUUGGAAGCAUCAGUAGGAAACCUCAGUGGAUGCUUAGUAACUAAAGAUAUCGAUGAAAUAAUUUAAUGAUAUCUACAGCUAGCAUAAGAAGCACAAGAAGCUGCAACAAGGCUAUUUUUUCCAUGAGAAUGCCACCCCAAUUCCUUCUACCAACCCACUUUAUGAAGAGGAGUGAUUUGGCAGAUCUCUUGAAAAAAGAGACUAAACAACUCCUGAGUCGUAUUGCCAUGGAGAUACAAACACAAACAGAGCACCUCCUGCUGCUUACACAAGCUCCAAGGCACCAUACACCAAGAGAUGUAACAGACCCAGGAGCUCAGGUGCCAAGUCCCACUCUCUGA